rnacentral:rRNA from 1 species
CACCGCGGUUAUACGAGGGGCUCAAAUUGAUGAAUAGCGGCGUAAAGAGUGAUUAGAGAACGCCAGACUAAAGCUGAAAGCACGCCCAGUUGUCAUACGCUAUGAUGAAUGGAAAACCAAAAACGAAAGUAGCUUUAAGAAUCUUGAAUUCACGACCAUUGAGGAA